rnacentral:rRNA from 1 species
AAGUUCCAAAUUAUUGUUAAGUGAAAAUAAGGUAGUGUUUAUCCAAGCCAACCAGGAAAUGGGCUUAGGAGCGGCCAUUUUUUAAAGACCUCGUAACAGAGCACUGGUUUUAUACAUUUUUGUAUGUAUUGUUAGAUGCACCUAAAAUUUAACGGAUCUAAAUAAUAUACCGAGACCUUGUCCAUAAAUAUUUAUAUGUACAAGUUACAUAUAAUAUUUAUGGGGUAGCGGAACAUUGGGCAUAUCUCAGAUUUUUUCUUUUUAAGACUUAAGAUUAGAUGACCCAAGUGAUAAUGCUGACAUGAGUAACGAUAAAGGGUUUAUACCCUCGCCUAAAGCUUAUGGAAUUUACUUAAAGUAACGGCCUCUAAGUUUAAAUUUGCUAUAGUUUAAACAAACAACACUUGAUACCUAACUCUAACAGACGAUACAAGUGCAAAAUAGUAAACACCUAAUGGUAUAAACGAUGAGAAAAAGCUAAGUUUUACAGAUAUAAAUAGCAUGAGUGUUGCAGGUAGGUAUUAUAUAUAUAAUGGAUUUUUUUUUUAUUCUUUUAUGCGUAUUAUCCUUGCACUAUACUGGAUAUUGAUUGCUCGGGUAUAGGCGGAUGGGCCCG